AUUAAUGUAGUGGUAGAGCACUUGCCUACCAAGCAUGAGGUCCUAGGUUCAAUUCCUAGUACUAAAA
rnacentral:tRNA from 1 species